rnacentral:rRNA from 1 species
GACAGAGGGUGCAAACGUUGCUCGGAAUCACUGGGCGUAAAGGGCGUGUAGGCGGGCAGUAAAGUCAGAUGUGAAAUCCCUGGGCUCAACCCAGGAACUGCAUUUGAAACUCACUUUCUUGAGUACCGGAGAGGAAGGCGGAAUACCUGGUGUAGAGGUGAAAUUCGUAGAUAUCAGGUGGAACACCAGCGGCGAAGGCGGCCUUCUGGACGGUAACUGACGCUGAGACGCGAAAGCGUGGGGAGCAAACAGG